UUUGGAUGCCCUUUAUUUCUCUUAUCUGAUUGUUCUGGCGAGGACUUCUAGUACUGUGUUGAAUAGAAGUGGUGAAAGUUGGCAUCAUUGUCUUGUUCCAGUUCUCAGGGGGAAUGCCUUCAACUUUUCCCCAUUCCAUAUAAUGUUGGCUGUGUUUGUCAUAUAUGGCUUUUAUUACCUUAAGGUAUGUCCCUUCGAUGUUGCUUUUGCUGAGGGUUUUAAUCACAAAGGGAUUCUGGAUUUUGUCAAAUGUUUUUUCUAUGUCAAUUUUGCUGAGGGUUUUAGGCAUAAAGGGAUGCUGGAUUUUGUCAAAUCCUUUUUCUGCAUGUAUUGAGAUGAUCAUGUGAUUUUUGUUUUUAAUUCUGUUUAUAUGGUGUAUCACAUUUAUUGACUUGCAGAUAUUUAACCAUCCUGCAUCCCUGAUUUGUCUUCAGAUCGUAUAUAUCUUUCGCCCUAUGAUGGUUAAUUUUAUGUGCCAAGUUGGGUUGCCUAGAUAUUUGGUUAAACACUCUGGAUGUGUCUGUGAGGGUGUUCCUUGAUGAGACGAACAUUUGAAUAUGUAGACUUAGUAAAGUGCUUGCCCUCCCCAGUGUGAGUGGGCCUCAUCCAAUCCAUUAAAACCCAAAUAAAACACAAGGGUAGAGGAAGAGAGAAUUCACUCUCUGAUGAUUUCAGAGCUGAGACGUAGAUCUUCUCUCGCCUUUGAAGUCAGACGUGGACUGUAACUUACGCCAUCAGCUUUCCUGGUUCUCAGGACUUUAGGCUUGGACUGGAACUCCAACAUUGGCAGUCCUGGGUCUCCAGCUUGCUGACUGGAGGUCCUGGGACUUCUUAGCCUUCAUAACCACAUGAGCCAAUUCCUUACAAUAAACCUAUAUAUAUUCAUGCAACUGAUAAAUAUUUUGUUGUUACAGAUUUGGCUGCCAUGUUCUUUUUGUGCCUGUUUUAACAGAGUCUCAGUCAUAGCCUGCCUUCAUCUCUGAAGGGACCAGGCGACCCACCGAGUGCCUCGGCAGCCUUGUUAUUGCAUGCAAUCUUCACAGACAAGAUCUCACUGCAACCAGCUUUCUACAGGAGCACAAGUGUGACAUUAUACUGAUGACAUCAUUCUCAGAGAAAAUUCAUUUUACGCACUAAGGACACACAGAUACAAGGAGGCUUACACAAAGGGAAUGGAUCUUUCCCCAACACAGCAGUGCAAGCCCCUGCCACUUUGCUUCAAUUCCUGAAAAUUCCUUGCAUCAGGGCAGUGAUUGCUGACCACAUACUGGACCCUCUGGAAACAGAGGGCUCUGCAUCCAUGUCCACGAGCCUUCAUGCCCAUCUGGCCAUCAGGCCUUGGGAAGCAGCACCCCACAGCCUUGGCACAGCUGCAGAGACCUCCUUGCCUCAGGAUGGAGUCAAACCUGGACCCCCUGCCAUUCUCAUCUGCAGGAAACACUGGCCUCCUUCAUCCUCAGGCUGUGUUGCUGGAAGUCACCCAUCUCCGAGGCCCCUUGGGAUUGACUGAGUGACCAGCAGUGAAGUUCAUCCACCUUCUGAAUGGAUUCCAUCAUCUGACGUGAUGGAGCUCAGUGGGUUGUUGCUGCGGUCUUCCCUCCCUUAGCCAGGAUGUCCCUGAUAAAGGAUGACACCCAAGCCUCAGCACAACUGGCCAAACUUGAGGUGGUCAUCUCAGCACUGAUGCUGGGCCAACAAUUAGCCCCAUUUGUACAUUUUUACAAAUUUUUGGCAAUUGCCAAGAAUUAUCCACCUUCCCUCCCCAUUGAAUUAAAGAAACUUCUUGCCUCA